UGAGACUGUCAGAAAAAAAAAUAGACUUUUAUUUAAAGAGUUUGAGAAAUAGUAAAUAAUACUUUUUUUGUUUGAUAACUUGAGAUGUGUGUGACAGUGCUGUUUUCAAUAGAGAAAUGUUUAAGUGCCCCUAAAUUUGUUUUUUUUCUCCAUCAUUACUCUCAUGGUAGCCUGCUUGGCCUUCUGUUAAACUGCUUACCAUGUUCUAUCUCUUGUAGAUUCUAAAAGUUCUUUGAGUUUAGGGUUCAGAGUUCCAUCAUUUUUCUGAUUUCCCACAUGCCUCGAACAAGUGCUAAAUGUGUUGCAUUUAUUUUUUAAAUUCGUAUGACUACAUGUAAAAACAGGAAGAAUUCUUUUAAGAAAUUGCGUCGUAAUAAAGCUGGGGCAUGUUUGUCUGGGGCAUGUGACAUGAGGGGUUGUGGUUUUGUCUUACAACAUUUCUCUUAGUUAAUGUGGCUGAGAUUGACUGGUUAGAUCACAAUGAAGUAGGGGCAAGGUUUUGCUGUGUGUUCCAGGCUGGUCUCAAACUUCUGACCUCAAGCAGUCCUCCCACCUUGGUCUCCCAAAGUGCCCGGAUUACAAGUGUGAGCCACCACGCUCCUGGUGAUCUGGACCAUUUUGAAUAGGCCUGUUACAAAAAUUAGGAUAUUUGGGGCAACUAGUUUCAGCUUUUGUUCCUGGUUGUUUGAAGGAUUUAAGUACUAAAACAGUUUAUUUUUUCAGCAGAACUAUUUUUGUUUCAAUCCAUUAAAAAUAUAUUACAUACUUUGGCCCAUUAGGCAGACAGAAUAGAACUAAAUUUAAUCAUUUGUAAUGAAUCAGGGCUGCCCUUAACUGUUCUCCCAAAGGAGGGAUGGUGUGAGGUACUAAACAGACCCUGAGGUGAUCUCAGGGAUCUUGCUUUCU